AGAGUUUGAUCCUGGCUCAGAUUGAACGCUGGCGGCAGGCCUAACACAUGCAAGUCGAGCGGUAGAGAGGUGCUUGCACCUCUUGAGAGCGGCGGACGGGUGAGUAAUGCCUAGGAAUCUGCCUGGUAGUGGGGGAUAACGCUCGGAAACGGACGCUAAUACCGCAUACGUCCUACGGGAGAAAGCAGGGGACCUUCGGGCCUUGCGCUAUCAGAUGAGCCUAGGUCGGAUUAGCUAGUUGGUGGGGUAAUGGCUCACCAAGGCGACGAUCCGUAACUGGUCUGAGAGGAUGAUCAGUCACACUGGAACUGAGACACGGUCCAGACUCCUACGGGAGGCAGCAGUGGGGAAUAUUGGACAAUGGGCGAAAGCCUGAUCCAGCCAUGCCGCGUGUGUGAAGAAGGUCUUCGGAUUGUAAAGCACUUUAAGUUGGGAGGAAGG
rnacentral:rRNA from 1 species